rnacentral:rRNA from 1 species
GCAGGCUGCAACUCGCCUGCAUGAAGUUGGAAUUGCUAGUAAUCGCGAAUCAGAAUGUCGCGGUGAAUACGUUCCCGGGCCUUGUACACACCGCCCGUCACACCAUGAGAGUUGGCAAUACCCAACGUACGUGAUCUAACCCGCAAGGGAGGAAGCGUCCUAAGGUAGGGUCAGCGAUUGGGGUGAAGUCGUAACAAGGUAAC